rnacentral:rRNA from 1 species
UACGUAGGGUGCAAGCGUUAAUCGGAAUUACUGGGCGUAAAGCGCGCGCAGGCGGGAAGAUAAGUCUGGAGUGAAAUUCCGGGGCUCAACUCCGGAGCUGCUUUGGAUACUGUCUUUCUAGGGACCGGUAGAGGUCGGUGGAAUUCCCGGUGUAGCGGUGGAAUGCGUAGAGAUCGGGAAGAACACCCGUGGCGAAAGCGGCUCUCUGGGACGGUACUGACGCUGAGACGCGAAAGCGUGGGGAGCGAACAGG